GCAGCAGUCAUAUAGUGGUUAUUAUCCGAGCUUCCCAAGCUCGUGAUGGGGGUUCGAUUCCCCUCUGCUGCU
rnacentral:tRNA from 1 species